rnacentral:rRNA from 1 species
AGUGAACGCUGGCGGUAGGCCUAACACAUGCAAGUCGAACGGCAGCACAGUAAGAGCUUGCUCUUACGGGUGGCGAGUGGCGGACGGGUGAGGAAUACAUCGGAAUCUACUUUUUCGUGGGGGAUAACGUAGGGAAACUUACGCUAAUACCGCAUACGACCUACGGGUGAAAGCAGGGGAUCUUCGGACCUUGCGCGAUUGAAUGAGCCGAUGUCGGACUAGCUAGUUGGCGGGGUAAAGGCCCACCAAGGCGACGAUCCGUAGCUGGUCUGAGAGGAUGAUCAGCCACACUGGAACUGAGACACGGUCCAGACUCCUACGGGAGGCAGCAGUGGGGAAUAUUGGACAAUGGGCGCAAGCUUGAUCCAGCCAUACCGCGUGGGUGAAGAAGGCCUUCGGGUUGUAAAGCCCUUUUGUUGGGAAAGAAAGGCAGCAGGUUAAUACCCCGCUGUUCUGACGGUACCCAAAGAAUAAGCACCGGCUAACUUCGUG